AGGGACUGUAGUAUAUAAAUAACUGCAAUAUUGGAAAUCUAUGACCACAAUUUUUUUUCGCAUCAAUUGAGGGUGCCAGCAUUUCCUAUUUUUAUUCAAAAUAUCGCAUCAGAAACAAAUAUCAGUAGUUUUCAUACCUCAGACUGACUCAUGUAACAAAAUUAUUUGUCUGCAUCAAUCAAAACUGACCAUAUUUGACAGCAUCAACCAAAACUGACCAUAUUUGACCACAUCAACAAAAACUGACC
rnacentral:lncRNA from 1 species